GAUGAACGCUAGCGGCAGGCUUAAUACAUGCAAGUCGAGGGGUAGCAAGAUUGUAGCAAUACAAUUGUUGACGACCGGCAAACGGGUGCGGAACACGUACACAACCUUCCUACAAGUGGGGAAUAGCACAGAGAAAUUUGGAUUAAUACCCCGUAACAUAGCGAUGUGGCAUCACAUUGCUAUUAUAGCUUCGGCGCUUGUUGAUGGGUGUGCGGCUGAUUAGAUAGUUGGCGGGGUAACGGCCCACCAAGUCUACGAUCAGUAGCUGAUGUGAGAGCAUGAUCAGCCACACGGGCACUGAGACACGGGCCCGACUCCUACGGGAGGCAGCAGUAAGGAAUAUUGGACAAUGGACGCAAGUCUGAUCCAGCCAUGCCGCGUGAAGGAUUAGGGUCCUCUGGAUUGUAAACUUCUUUUAUAAGGGACGAAAAAAGGUCUUUCUAGAUCGUCUGACGGUACCUUAUGAAUAAGCACCGGCUAACUCCGUGCCAGCCGCCGCCGUAAUAC
rnacentral:rRNA from 1 species